ACAAAUGUAGCUCAGUGGUACAGCAUUUAUCUAGCACAUGUAAGUCUCUGGGUUCAAUCCCCAGUACUGGGG
rnacentral:tRNA from 1 species